UACGUAGGGGGCGAGCGUUGUCCGGAUUUAUUGGGCGUAAAAGGCUUGUAGGUGGCCACGCCAAGUCGGAUGUGAAAUCUCCCGGCUCAACUGGGAGGGGUCAUUCGAUACUGGCGGGCUCGAGGCAGGUAGGGGGAAGCGGAAUUCCCGGUGUAGUGGUGGAAUGCGUAGAUAUCGGGAGGAACACCGGUGGCGAAGGCGGCCUUCUGGACGGUGACUGACGCUGAGGCGCGAAAGCGUGGGGAGCAAACGGG
rnacentral:rRNA from 1 species